GUCUCCAGAGCCACUCGGUCCACAUCCUCACAGCAUGGAGUGGAUGUGGAGGCUCCUUCUCCUGCUGGUGGUGGCCCCAGGUACCUACUCCCAGGUGCAUCUGGUGCAGUCUGGGCCUGAGCUGAAGAAGCCAGGAGAAGCCGUGAAGGUCUCCUGCAAGGCUUCCGGAUACACCUUCACUAGCUACGGUAUUAAUUGGGUGAGGCAGGAGCCAAGAGGUGGCCUGCAGUGGAUGGGGUGGAUCAACACUUACACUGGAAAUCCAACCUAUGCUGAGGGCUUCAAAGGAGGAUUUGUCUUCUCCCUGGAGACUUCUGUCAGCACAGCACAUCUGAAGAUCAGCAGCCUGAAGGCGGAGGACACGGCCGUGUACUACUGUGCAAGACACG